GAUCUGUUACUAAAGUUACAGAUCUUUACAAACAUGCUGUUAAUUUCAUAAUUGAGAAAUGGACACAAAGUUUUGGAGACGAGCCCUCGAUGUACAAGAGAAGCAUAGAUCAAGAAGAAGUCAAAGAAACAGUUGUUCGCGCCGUUGAAAUGCUCAUGGAUGUUAUCAUAAAAGAUAUGUAAUAUGCUAACAAAUAAAUAAAUUGUUCAUGUA